UGCAGAGCAGCUCAGCCAAGCAGUUUAAAGUGCAAAAGAGCACAACUGCGAGGGCAAUGCACUGCAGCACUCAGUGUAAAGGUUUUGAUUGGGAUAGGGUUGGUUUUCUUCCUAGCAGCUGGUACAAUGCAAAGUUUUUGAUUUAGUGUGAGAACAACACUGAUAUCACACUGAUGCUUUCGUUGAGGCUGUCCAGUGCUUACCCUAAGUCAAGGACUUUUCAGUUUCCCAGGCUCUGCCAGGGAGCAGGUGCACAAGACUGGGAGGGAGAAUGGAGAGGACAGCUGACCUGAACUGCCCAAAGCAUUGGCCAGUAAUAGCCAUAUGCUAUUCCAUACCAUAGACCGUCAUGCUCAGUACAUAAACUGGGAGCAGUUGACAGGAAGCCACUGACCACUGCUGGGGGAUGGGCUGGGCAUCAAUCAGUGGUACACAAAAGCAUGGCUUCUGCUAAAAAUAACUUCUCUCUAACGUUGAGACCCAGGUUUUGUUAUUGUUCCCUGAUCCCCUACAAGUAUGUAACUGUCUUGUGCUCCCCUGAUCAGUUUGGGACUAGCAGGGAUCUCAGCAGCUCUCUGGAGCCCAAAGUCUGGGCAUGUGAGCAAGGAACUGGCUGGCCUCUCCAAGAAAAGGGAUGGAGGCAAACAACCUUGAUCCUACCAUGGAAUAAUCACAUCAUUGUGGUCCUGAAGGUCUUGCUAAGCCUGACCUGCAGUGCUCAAGAGCUGAUUGUGAGGAUACUCAGGCAGGAGAGAAUGGAUUUAUCUAUGCUUGGGUCAGAAUUAUGUGAUUCUUGGCAGACUUGAUUUCAAAUAGAAGACAGGACUUGAUGUGAACUUCUUGACCUGUGAGAGGCACUUUGUGAAAGAGGGACUGCGAGAGUUUGCGAUGUGCAAAGCCUACGCAUUCAGCUUCCACGCUCUGAGGGAGCACGAGGAGAAUUCUGAAUAGGCUACAUGAAGUAUGGGCUAAGAAGGUGGAAAAGUGCAGAACUUUCAGAUGGUAGUCCAUAAUCUUUAGUGACCUCAUGCAUGAAAGUAUUUAUGAGGUUCUCCUUUUUUGCAUGCAAUAUUAUAAGGCCAAAUAUAAAAUACAGAAUUAAUCAUUCAGAUUUUGAUUUAUUUUUGUCUAUUAGUCUAGUUUAAGAAACAGAGUGUAAUCUGAUAGCUUGUCACCAGAGGAGGAAGUAACAUGUGUUG